CCUACGGGAGGCAGCAGUGGGGAAUAUUGCACAAUGGGCGAAAGCCUGAUGCAGCGACGCCGCGUGAGGGAUGACGGCCUUCGGGUCGUAAACCUCUUUCAGCAGGGAAGAAGCGAAAGUGACGGUACCUGCAGAAGAAGCGCCGGCUAACUACGUGCCAGCAGCCGCGGUAAUACGUAGGGCGCAAGCGUUGUCCGGAAUUAUUGGGCGUAAAGAGCUCGUAGGCGGCUUGUCACGUCGGAUGUGAAAGCCCGGGGCUUAACCCCGGGUCUGCAUUCGAUACGGGCUAGCUAGAGUGUGGUAGGGGAGAUCGGAAUUCCUGGUGUAGCGGUGAAAUGCGCAGAUAUCAGGAGGAACACCGGUGGCGAAGGCGGAUCUCUGGGCCAUUACUGACGCUGAGGAGCGAAAGCGUGGGGAGCGAACAGGAUUAGAUACCCUGGUAGUCCACGCCGUAAACGUUGGGAACUAGGUGUUGGCGACAUUCCACGUCGUCGGUGCCGCAGCUAACGCAUUAAGUUCCCCGCCUGGGGAGUACGGCCGCAAGGCUAAAACUCAAAGGAAUUGACGG
rnacentral:rRNA from 1 species